GGGGGAAUAUUGGACAAUGGGCGCAAGCCUGAUCCAGCCAUGCCGCGUGUGUGAAGAAGGCCUUCGGGUUGUAAAGCACUUUCNGUGGGGAGGAAGGGGAUUNGNUUAAUACCNGGGNGNNUUGACGUUACCCACAGAAUAAGCACCGGCUAACUNCGUGCCAGCAGCCGCGGUAAUACGGAGGGUGCAAGCGUUAAUCGGAAUUACUGGGCGUAAAGCGCGCGUAGGCGGUUNGUUAAGUCGGAUGUGAAAUCCCCGGGCUCAACCUGGGAACUGCAUUCGAAACUGGC
rnacentral:rRNA from 1 species